CCUUCAACCCCAUCUUCUCUUCUUUUUGCCUAACAUAAUGUUUUUGAAGUUCAUCCAUGUUGUUGCAGGGGAAGAAUGACAAAUAACAAGGAAAAGAGCAACUAACACAAUGAUUUCAGACAGCAGUGAAGAAGACAGAGCAGGGUGACAUGACAGGAAGUGAUGGUGAAAAGGGAAAGUUACCACCUGGGACUGGAUAAGGUUACCACAUGUGGACGGACCUUUGGGUUGAUCUACCAGUUAUGAGAAGGGAAGAGAAUCUAGAGAAGAAGAACCUAGAGAAGGGCAGAUUGACCCCUGGAGUGAGCACCUUUUGGCCCAAGCAAGCUCAGUACUUCUGUGGAGCAGGAUGAUGCUAGCUAUAAAGCGGCAGAGCUUCAAGGAGGGAGAAGG
ensembl:lncRNA